UUUUUUUUUUUACUCUACUUUCCUUUUCAACACACAGAUAGGGCUUUGCUUCUUAUCGAAAAACACCAUCAUUGGCACCAUUGUGACCAAAAUUCUCCUCCCGUUUGCCGGUUUGUCCUUGCCCAUCGUUGCCCUAUCAAAAGUCAUUUGAUUAAGAGCCAUCCAGAGGCAAAGGAAAGACACCCAAAGGUAAAGCCUUCUCAUACCAUCGGUUGCCCUACUCCAACCUCUCAGUCACCAUCGUUGUCCUCACACCACCGUCGUCCCACUAGGAGCUAGUCGUCGCCGCAACCACACAUUGGAAAUGGAGGAGCAAGUGAUGGAACGAGUAGAAAAUUGAAGCACAAAAUUUGAGAUUGUACGGUUACAAGUGACUGCUCAAAAAAUUACAAAAACAAGGAUUUGAAGUUCUCACAAAAACACACACACACACACACUCUCUCUCACAAAGAGAGAGAGAGAGAGAGAGAGAGAGAGAGAGAUUUUGUCCCCCAUUAAUGUAAGUUGCUUCUCUAAAUAAAAUAGAAAAUAUUAUACAAGUUGAUGCUAUAUUAAGGUAAAGAAUUUAUCAUUGAACCUUUA